CAUGCUAGGAUGUGAUGGGGAAGCCCUUCGGGGCGAAGUAGCUGAUUUCACACUGUCAAGAAAAGCUUCUAUCGAGUUUAAAGGCGCCCGUACCGUAAACCGACACAGGUGGGUGAGGAGAGUAUCCUAAGGCCAGCGAGAGAACUAUUGUUAAGGAACUCGGCAAAAUGACCCCGUAACUUAGGGAGAAGGGGUGCCUGUCUAUGACAGGCCGCAGAGAAUAGGCCCAAGCGACUGUUUACCAAAAACACAGGUUUCUGCUAAGUCGCAAGACGAUGUAUAGGAGCUGACGCCUGCCCGGUGCUGGAAGGUUAAGGGGACCUGUUAGAGCAAUCGAAGCAGUGAACUUAAGCCCCAGUAAACGGCGGCCGUAACAAUAACGGUCCUAAGGUAGCGAAAUUCCUUGUCGGGUAAGUUCCGACCCGCACGAAAGGCGUAACGAUUUGGGCACUGUCUCAACAAUAGACUCGGUGAAAUUGUAAUCCCGGUGAAGAUGCCGGGUACCUGCGACAGGACGGAAAGACCCCAUGGAGCUUUACUGUAGCUUGACGUUGGGUCUUGGUACUACACGUACAGGAUAGGUGGGAGACUAUGAAGCAUGGACGCCAGUCUGUGUGGAGUUAUCCUUGGGAUACCACCCUUGUAGUACUGGGAUCCUAACCAUAGGCCUUGAAUCAGGUCUUGGAACACCGUCAGGUGGGCAGUUUGACUGGGGCGGUCGCCUCCUAAAAAGUAACGGAGGCGCUCAAAGGUUUCCUCAACACGGUCGGAAAUCGUGCGAAGAGUGUAAAGGCAAAAGGAAGCUUGAUUGCAAGACAUACAGGUCGAGCAAGGACGAAAGUCGGACUUAGUGAUCCGGUGGUACCGCAUGGAAGGGCCAUCGCUCAACGGAUAAAAGCUACCCUGGGGAUAACAGGCUUAUCUCCCCCAAGAGUCCACAUCGACGGGGAGGUUUGGCACCUCGAUGUCGGCUCAUCACAUCCUGGGGCUGUAGUAGGUCCCAAGGGUUGGGCUGUUCGCCCAUUAAAGUGGUACGCGAGCUGGGUUCAGAACGUCGUGAGACAGUUCGGUCCCUAUCCGUCGCAGGCGUAGGAAAUUUGAGAAGACCUGUCCUUAGUACGAGAGGACCGGGAUGGACGUACCUCUGGUGUACCAGUUGUUCUGCCAAGGGCAUGGCUGGGUAGCUAUGUACGGAAUGGAUAAGCGCUGAAAGCAUCUAAGCGCGAAGCCAACUUCAAGAUAAGAUUUCCCACCGUAAGGGUAAGACCCCAGGAAGACUACCUGGUUGAUAGGUCGAAGGUGUAAGUGCAGUAAUGUAUUUAGCUUAUCGAUACUAAUAGGUCGAGGACUUGAUC
rnacentral:rRNA from 1 species